rnacentral:lncRNA from 1 species
AAUUUGGAUCACAACCUCACAAUGGGAUGUCAUCACAAUUAAAAGAGAUUUCAACCUUGAUUUCUUCAUGGGACUGUCACUUUUGCACACCACAAAGCACAUCGGAAUGGACAGCAUUGCACAAAUGUGACAUGGCCCUAAGUGAAGAAGGUUACAGUCUGUAUAAUGUUGUGCAUGUUGUGGUCCACACCUACCAUGAACUCAUGCUUCAACAAGUAGAGUCUCAGAAAAUAGCAGAACAGAAAGGAUUAUUCACUGACUGUCAGCAGUGUUGGCACAUGCCUUUAAUCACAGCACUUGGGAGUCAGAGGCAGGAGGAUCUCUGAGAUCGAGGCCAGUCUGGUCUACAAAACCCAACAACUUCUUAUAUCUGAAGACCCGGAGUGGGCCACAGGAGGAACAUCAGUUCCCUUCUCCAUGUGUAGUGUGGCAUGUACUGCUGGAUUCAGGAAAAUUCAUCAGGAAGAAACAGCAGACUGCUGUUUUGAUUGUGUUCAGUGCCCAAAAAAUGAGGUUUCCAAUGAAACAGGUACAUGCUUGCAUGCAGAAGAAAAAUUGCUAAAUUUGAAUGUGUUCUCUUUCCAAACAAGAAAUAUAUGGUCUAGAUGAAAAUUGAAGACCUAAAAUCUUCAUGUUUCACUACUUAAUCAGUUAAAUAAUAUCAACUGCUUUUGGACCCAGCAAAUAGCCUGCAAUAUCUUCUUCAAACAAUGUAUUUCUCUCACAAUAUGAUGGUUACUGAUUUUAUGUUACAUAGAAAAUGUUUA